UACGUAGGGUGCAAGCGUUGUCCGGAAUUAUUGGGCGUAAAGAGCUCGUAGGCGGUUUGUCGCGUCUGCUGUGAAAUCCCGAGGCUCAACCCCGAACUUGCAGUGGGUACGGGCAGACUAGAGUGUGGUAGGGGAGACUGGAAUUCCUGGUGUAGCGGUGAAAUGCGCAGAUAUCAGGAGGAACACCGAUGGCGAAGGCAGGUCUCUGGGCCAUAACUGACGCUGAGAAGCGAAAGCAUGGGGAGCGAACAGG
rnacentral:rRNA from 1 species